rnacentral:rRNA from 1 species
GGAUAACUACUGGAAACGGUAGCUAAUACCGCAUAAUCUCUUAGGAGCAAAGCGGGGGAACUUCGGUCCUUGCGCUAUCGGAUGAACCCAUAUGGGAUUAGCUGGUGGGGGAGGGAAUGGCUCACCUAGGCGACGAUCCCUAGCUGGUCUGAGAGGAUGAUCAGCCACACUGGGACUGAGACACGGCCCACACUCCUACGGGAGGCAGGAGGGGGGAAUAUUGCACAAUGGGCGCAAGCCUGAUGCAGCCAUGCCGCGUGUAUGAAGAAGGCCCUAGGGUUGUAAAGUACUUUCGGUCGGGAGGAAGGCGUUGAUGCUAAUAUCAUCAGCGAUUGACGUUACCGACAAAA